UAUUGUUCAAAGGGUAGAUCUUUUGUUUUCCUUCCGAAGUUCCAGAACUACACACACCAAUAAGGUUUACAACGUAUACCUUAUGAAGAACUGAGUGAUAGGUUCCCCCGAAAUGACGUCUGAGGGUUCUCCAUUGGCCACACGUUCCAUAUAAGGCUUAACAUCUUCAUAGGUAACCACCGGUACGUUCUUCUUGAAUAACUCUUUAUCAGAGCUCCCGUGGAGAAAGCGUCUAAGAUACUCUGUGUUCGCGCUACUUCUGAGUAUCUCUUCCAACAUGUCUUCUUGUAUUUGCUUCGCAUUUGAGCUCAAUUCCUCUAGAGCCUUCAGCUCGGAGUUUAGAUUCAUGUUUGGUUUAAAUCUCUUGAUGCCCCUCAAGUCAGGGUUUCAUACGUAGAGCAACAUAAUAAUAAGUAAACGCACUCAGCUUGUUUAUAAAGAAAGUAUAUCUAAUGAGAGAGGGACGAGAUGAUUUUAUUUGUAUAAAAUAAUUACACAAGUCAAUGCUUAGGAAAUCGUGUGAAUAAUUUGAUAGGAAUCAUCUUGCUGGCAAAAAUAUAUUCAAAAUAUAUUCAUGCGAGAGAAACGAGUUCAUUUUUAUUUGUAUAGAAGAAUAACACUAGUCAUUAUAUUCAUGUAUUUGUAUCUAAAGAAACUGGGAGAUAAUGAAACACGGGGACAAUUUUGCGUUAUAUUAUCCAGUCCCAUGAUGCCAUGUUACUAUUCGUUCUUUGAUUACGGAACAUCUGACAGUAUAUUUAAUAGACGAAGCUGUUAGGUGAUUUAGAGCAUGAUUA